rnacentral:rRNA from 1 species
GACGAACGCUGGCGGCGUGCCUAAUACAUGCAAGUAGAACGCUGAAGAGAGGAGCUUGCUCUUCUUGGAUGAGUUGCGAACGGGUGAGUAACGCGUAGGUAACCUGCCUUGUAGCGGGGGAUAACUAUUGGAAACGAUAGCUAAUACCGCAUAACAAUGGAUGACCCAUGUCAUUUAUUUGAAAGGGGCAAAUGCUCCACUACAAGAUGGACCUGCGUUGUAUUAGCUAGUAGGUGAGGUAACGGCUCACCUAGGCGACGAUACAUAGCCGACCUGAGAGGGGGAUCGGCCACACUGGGACUGAGACACGGCCCAGACUCCUACGGGAGGCAGCAGUAGGGAAUCUUCGGCAAUGGGGGCAACCCUGACCGAGCAACGCCGCGUGAGUGAAGAAGGUUUUCGGAUCGUAAAGCUCUGUUGUAAGUCAAGAACGAGUGUGAGAGUGGAAAGUUCACACUGUGACGGUAGCUUACCAGAAAGGGACGGCUAACUACGUG